rnacentral:rRNA from 1 species
UACGUAGGGGGCAAGCGUUGUCCGGAAUCAUUGGGCGUAAAGAGCGUGUAGGCGGCUUGGUAAGUCCGCUGUGAAAGUCCAGGGCUCAACCCUGGAAUGCCGGUGGAAACUGUCAAGCUUGAGUCCGGAAGAGGCGAGUGGAAUUCCUGGUGUAGCGGUGAAAUGCGCAGAUAUCAGGAGGAACACCAAUGGCGAAGGCAGCUCGCUGGGACGGUACUGACGCUGGAGACGCGAAAGCGUGGGGAGCAAACAGGAUUGAGA